GAUGAACGCUGGCGGCGUGCCUAAUACAUGCAAGUCGAGCGAACAGACGAGGAGCUUGCUCCUCUGGCGUUAGCGGCGGACGGGUGAGUAACAUGUGGAUAUCCUACCUAUAAGACUAGGAUAACUUCGGGAACCCGGAGCUACUACCGACUAAUAUAUGAAACCGCAUGGUUCAAUAGUGAAAGACGGUUUUGCUGUCACUUGUAGAUGGAUCCGCGCCGCAUUAGCUAGUUGGUAAGGUAACGGCCUACCAAGGCAACGAUGCGUAGCCGACCUGAGCGGGCGAUCGGCCACACUGGAACUGAGACACGGCCCAGACUCCUACGGGAGGCAGCAGUAGGGAAUUUUCCGCAAUGGGCGAAAGCCUGAUCGAGCAACGCCGCGUGAGUGAUGAAGGUCUUCGGAUCGUAAAACUCUUUUAUUAGGGAAGAACAAAUUUGUACGUAACCAGUCACGUCUUGACGGUACCGAAUCAGAAAGCCCCGGCUAACUACGUG
rnacentral:rRNA from 1 species